rnacentral:lncRNA from 1 species
AGGAUUGGGAAUAGCUUGAAGUCUAACUUAAGCUGAAUAUAAUAUGAGUUUCUUCCUCUAGGAAGGAAACUAGUUGAUUCUUCGCUUAGGAUAAGAAGAAAAAGAAACGCGAAGGUAUGGGCUAGCGAACGAAAGCCUGGUAGCCAACAUUGAAUAGGAGAAAAAGGGAAGCCAAGAGUCAAGCCAACUUAAAGGCAGCCGCCCUUAUUGUCUAAUAGCUUUAUGAUAAGGAAACCACAUCGAAAGGGAUACCUGAUUCUGAGGCUUCAUCUAAGUCCCUUUCUAAUCAUUGCUUAACCAACUCAAAUGAUCAGCUAGGCUAACCACUGCAGUGCUGGUAGAAGGGUGACGGUGGUUGGUGAACGAUUUAGAAGAAGAUAGAAUAAUAUAAUACAGUUUCUUUUUUAUUUUUCAACGUAUUAGUUGAGAGUUGCACAUAGAAAGAGUCAGUUUUUAAUAUAAUAUUCCAGGAUUUAGGUUAUAAAAGAAGGAGAUUACUGGUUGAGUGACCAUUAAAUUAUCAAGUCCUUAGUAAAAUUCACAUGGUUGGUGGAGGGCCUUCAUUUAGGAAUGUGGAGACAAUGGAUCUUGGAAACAAGGUAUUAGAUUCGAUGAGAACUCAGUAUGGACCAUGGGCACCAAAUUAUUUUCUUUACUAUCACCCAAAGUGAUCAAGUCUAUAUUUAAUUGAUUAACAAUGAUGAGAAAACUUUAAUAUGGGUAGAGAAACCAAGUCUUCUAACUAAAAUAUAGGACCCAUUGUAAAAUCAACGUUUCGCACAACUUCUUUGUCAAUGGAAAUCACAUAACUUGUGUCUCUAAUGAAAACUCUUAUCAAAGUCUUCAACAGCAAUCAAUGGAAAACAAAGCUUCAUCAAGUUUAUUAUAAUGGGAAAUUUUAAGAAGCAACAUGGAGACCAGUACAAAAUUAACCCCUUUAAAGACACACUACAAAUGACCAAUAAAAACUUACCUACCUUUAUCUGUCACAAUGCCAUGUGUAAUUUGUAUUAUAGAAAGAUUAGAUCUACAUUGUUUUCACAAGGAUACAUAGAAUAAUUGAGCAUUACUGCCGUGGGCUUUCUUGGAAACACAGGCAAUAGCCAGAACCUGCAGGCAAGUGACCGUGCACGCAUAUGGGAGUUCUGAGUUGAAGCACAGAACUCCAGGCAUUAGAAACUCUCAUUGCAUUCACUCCCACGCCUUGGAUGACAGAGGCGGCAACUCAUUAGUAAGCAUCGCCUGCACAUUGCUGAGACCAUGAAAAGCAUCUCCCUUUGGGAUUCCCGUUCAUGAACCAAUCUCUUGAACCUUUCUUCUUCUUAAUAAGUCAAAUUGUUAAGAAGCUUAUGUAAGGCCCAGUCAAUGCCCGAUCCAUUGACCGACCCAAAAACUCGCACAAGCCCAAAAGAUCUGCACGAACUUUGGCACAAAAUGAAAAAGAAAAAAACAAAGUCUCAUGUGACUGGCACGUGAGGUGGAAGAGGACUCCCGAUAGGAGUUCACCUCCUUCCUCGAGUACUGCAGAAAAGGGACUUCUACGGCUUGUGGAAUUUCAACAAAACCCUAGGAAUCUCUCCAUAAAACUCUUCCCUUCCCCCUCUCAGCACACCACCAUCAAGAUCGCUUUCAAUCACAAUCAAUUUUGAGCAAAAAUGUUAUGGGGUUAUGUUCAAUUCCUCAUCAAUCUGGCCUUGAUAUGUCGUCGGAGUUGAGGUAAGAUGCCCAAUCUCUCUCCUUGUUAUUCUGAUUCCAAGGCUGCCAUUGACGGCCUAACUUAGUGCCGGCUAGUUGCCGGAUUUAGCUGCGAGAAGGAUCCCCUAUUUUGGAUUCUUUUCCAUAGUUUCUCGUCCACCAUGGCCCAGAGAUGCAGCCCAAGAGGGGAGGUGAAUUGAGCAUUUAAAAAAUUUAAUCAAAUGAACAUUACAAUUCAAACUUAAGAUGCAGCAAAUAUGGUUUCUUGCUUAAGUUCUUUGAAUACAAUG